AUUCCUAUAAAGUAAAAUUGUCAAAGGUCCUAUGGGAUUGCAAAAUAUAAAUAUCAUUCAUUCGUUUUUGUUGUCAAGGGGAGCAAUGCUGUUGUCUUCUUUGGCUUCAUCAAUUAAUAUAUGCAAAUAUACUACCUUCUAUGCUUAUUUACAUCAUACCUAAAACAAAGGGAAGAACCCUGAUGAUAGUGCAGUUCUCUGUUUGAAUUGGAGAGCAGCAAUUGUAAAAAGCAAGUGGAUGUACAUUCCAGCAGAAAAUAAUGAAAGGGCAGGAUUGACGCUGAAGACUGAAAGAUUCAUGAACAAGAAAGCAAAAAAAUCAUAUAAGGAUUCCAUGUCAGGCACAAAGGAUCAGCACCAUAUGUUAAGUUGCAGUUCAGAAGAUUUAUUACUCAAGCCUAUACACAAGAAUCUAAUCUAAACUUCAUACUAAAUUGGUGCCAGAGAAGAGUCAAUGGAAUUCAAGAAGAGUUUGACUAUUUGUGGCAACUUAAUGAUUCUAGGCUGAUGACACGUUUAAUUUCACCCCAGUUCUACCUGCCCUCUUCCUACAUUCCAGUCUUUUUUUAAAAAGUCUUUAUUGUUUUUACCAAACUGGCCAGCUUUGCCAUUUCUGCCAGAUCAGUUAUUUUUAUGAUCCAGUCUUCCACUGGAAGAAUUGCAUUGUUUUUCCAACUUUUUGCAUACAGUAGUUUUGCCACAGUUAGCCAUCUACAGUAUUAAUUUCCCGUAAUUAUUUUCUAACUCCUUAUUCAUAAGGCCCAAUAAAAUAAUUUUAGUUUCAUCAUAUUAGUCCACAAUAUCUUUUGCAUCAUUGCAUGAAUACACUGUAUAUCCUUUUUUUUUUUGCUUUUUCACAAGUCCAUCAUGCAUAAUAAAAAGUCCCUUCU